GCCCGCACCUUGCCAAGGCCGCCAUCUCUUGAGUCUCCUGCUGUAUCUUUCACCUUUAUCUGUGAGCCCCUGUGGGCUUGUGUGACUGCAUUGGAACCACCUGGAUAAUUGCCCUCUUUUAAGGUCAGCUGAUUGGUAACCUUAAUGAAAUCCGUGAAGUCCCUUCUCACAGUAUCUAGAUCAGUGCCUGAAGGAAUAACCAGAUGGGCUCUUGGGAGCACAGGUUUAGAAUUCUGCCUCUCACAGGAGGUGAGGGACGAUGAACUGCUGCAAACGAAGUGGGAGCCGAGGAGCUGAAAGACCACACUGCUGGCUUCAGUUGCGUCUUUGCAGUAGGCGUCAAGAUCAUGUGAUAAAUAAGACAUCCUGCUAAGUGCACAUUUUCAGCUGCUUAUACUGAAAACUAUAUAAAGUUAAAAAGUUUAUUUCC
rnacentral:lncRNA from 10 species